CACGUAGGGACGAGCGUUGUCCGGAUUCAUUGGGCGUAAAGCGCGCGUAGGCGGCCCGGAAGUCGGAUGUAAACCUGGGCUCAACCCCAGGCGUGCACCCGAUACUCCCGGGCUGGAGGCAGGUAGGGAGAUCGGAAUUCCUGGUGUAGCGGUGAAAUGCGCAGAUAUCAGGAGGAACACCGGUGGCGAAGGCGGAUCUCUGGGCCUUGCCUGACGCUGAGGCGCGAAAGCGUGGGAGCAAACAGG
rnacentral:rRNA from 1 species